rnacentral:rRNA from 1 species
CAGGCCUAACACAUGCAAGUCGAGGGGCAGCAUUUCACUAGCAAUAGUGUUGAUGGCGACCGGCGCACGGGUGAGUAACACGUAUCCAAUCUGCCUAUUACUCGGGGAUAGCCUUUUGAAAGAAAGAUUAAUACCCGAUAGUAUAUGUUAAUCGCAUGAUUGAUAUAUUAAAGAAUUUCGGUAAUAGAUGAGGAUGCGUUCCAUUAGAUUGUUGGUGAGGUAACGGCUCACCAAGUCUUCGAUGGAUAGGGGUUCUGAGAGGAAGGUCCCCCACACUGGUACUGAGACACGGACCAGACUCCUACGGGAGGCAGCAGUGAGGAAUAUUGGUCAAUGGGCGGAAGCCUGAACCAGCCAAGUAGCGUGAAGGAUGACUGCCCUAUGGGUUGUAAACUUCUUUUAUAAGGGAAUAAACGCAUUUACGUGUAGAUGUCUGUAUGUACCUUAUGAAUAAGCAUCGGCUAACUCCGUGCCAGCAGCCGCGGUAAU